UACGGGAGGCAGCAGUGGGGAAUAUUGCACAAUGGGCGCAAGCCUGAUACAGCCAUGCCGCGUGUAUGAAGAAGGCCUUCGGGUUGUAAAGUACUUUUCAGUCGUGAGGAAGGUGUUAAGGUUAAUAACCUUAGCAAUUGACGUUAGCGACAGAAGAAGCACCGGCUAACUCCGUGCCAGCAGCCGCGGUAAUACGGAGGGUGCGAGCGUUAAUCGGAAUUACUGGGCGUAAAGGGCACGCAGGCGGUUAAUUAAGUUGGAUGUGAAAUCCCCCGGGCUUAACCUGGGAAUGGCAUUCAAGACUGGUUAGCUAGAGUCUUGUAGAGGGGGGUUAGAAUUCCAUGUGUAGCGGUGAAAUGCGUAGAGAUGUGGAGGAAUACCGGUGGCGAAGGCGGCCCCUGGACAAAGACUGACGCUCAUGUGCGAAAGCGUGGGGAGCAAACGAGGGAUUAGAUA
rnacentral:rRNA from 1 species